CUGGUCGCCGGCUCUCGCCCUUUCUUGCUCUGUUGUUGCCGCCGUCCGUUCUGUAUCGUUCUACUCCCGGGCUCUCCGUUUUGUGUGUGCCCGACAGGCAGACCUGAGACUGUUAGCUGGGAGUCGGCGAAGGAGACGCUCAAAAGGGCAGGCAUCACCCGGUUUCCUCGUGCACGAGCCAAGAUUAAAAGGACUUCUUGCUCAAACUCCUUGAGUUUGCAGUUCACCAUUACCAGCUUGAAGACUGGGUGCAGACCAAACCUGGAAAGAAAAUAAGCUCCAACCAAGCUGGGAGGGACCCUGACCACAGAAAUGGCCAUACAGACUGUUGAGAAAGAAAGGACACACCAUAUUAGAGUCAAGAAAUCAACCAUGGAAACUUUGGUAAAAAUAGAGGAAUUGGAUCAAUGGGAAACUUCCCCAAAAAUGCCAUGGGAGACAGUCUCUCUCUGGAUACCCUCAUCGAAUGCAUUCAUAACCAUUGGGACAAGUUAGACCCAAAAAAUCUAUAGACGGGACUUCCAAGAUAGCUAAGUUCAUCCAAUGGGAUAAGACCAAAUAUUAGACCGAUAGUUCAAUAACUGGGUGCCAAGGCCCAGGACCUAGCCAUUGGCCAAACAACAUGGAUGAUGAAGGAAGAACUCACCCCUGGGCCUCCAAGAGAACUACAUGCAGACGUCUGCGGUUUUUGAUCUGACCAGGUUUGCUGUUGGUGGAAGCCAGGCUUUGGAUGGACCAAGAUGAAUCCAGAUAUGGGAAAGGAUUAAAUUUCAUCGUAUGUGGAACUGGAAUGUAAGAAGACUGGCUGUGUGUUUUCCCUGAAGGUUAAAGCAGUUCUAGCAGUUGCACAAGGUGCUUGUUUAAAGCGUUUCAAGGACUGUGUCCUAACUUUGAAGAAUUAAUGUAUUAAACUUCUAUCUGGAGAAAAAUUAAAAUAAGAUUUUUUAAAUCUGUA